GACGAACGCUGGCGGCGUGCCUAACACAUGCAAGUCGAGCGAGUGAAUCUCCUUCGGGAGUGAAGCUAGCGGCGGACGGGUGAGUAACACGUGGGCAACCUGCCUCAUAGAGGGGAAUAGCCUUUCGAAAGGAAGAUUAAUACCGCAUAAGAUUGUGGCUUCGCAUGAAGUAGCAAUUAAAGGAGCAAUCCGCUAUGAGAUGGGCCCGCGGCGCAUUAGCUAGUUGGUGAGGUAACGGCUCACCAAGGCGACGAUGCGUAGCCGACCUGAGAGGGUGAUCGGCCACAUUGGGACUGAGACACGGCCCAGACUCCUACGGGAGGCAGCAGUGGGGAAUAUUGCACAAUGGGGGAAACCCUGAUGCAGCAACGCCGCGUGAGUGAUGACGGCCUUCGGGUUGUAAAGCUCUGUCUUCAGGGACGAUAAUGACGGUACCUGAGGAGGAAGCCACGGCUAACUACGUGCCAGCAGCCGCCGCGGUAA
rnacentral:rRNA from 1 species